rnacentral:rRNA from 1 species
AAACCGUUCAGGGGUAAACCUGAGAAACCCGAAAGUUCGAAAGGAGAGAUUCAUCGCGACUCGCGUUUCGUCGUCGAGUUUGCGUACGGACGUCUCGGUGCGCAAGCAUUCGUGGCGCCGAACGCAAUCACGUAACUGACGUGCGAUCGCGUGCACUUCUCUCCCUGUAGGACGUCGCGACCCGUUGGGUGUCGGUCUACGAGCGACGGUGGAGACCACAAAGCGGGGUCGUCUCAAAAACGAUCCGUCUUGACUUUGUGGACCCGUCGUUUCCGGCCGACUCGCUCGACGGUAGUCAAAGAGGGCGCGGGGCCGCGACUUAGUUCGCGUUCGACCCGUCGCAAGCGAUGUUCGGUAAUCUGGUGUACUCGGCGGCCUCGUGUCUCCGGUCCUGGAUCCGAACUACUGUUGGCGGCGUGGUUCUCGGACAGACUCCGUAUACACGCCUGUCGGCGACGAUCACGUUUUGGGUACUUUCAGGACCCGUCUUGAAACACGGACCAAGGAGUCUAGCAUGCACGCAAGUCUUAGGGACUAGUUUUGACGAAUCCUAAAGGCGAAAUGAAAGUGAAGGUCCGCCUACGCGCGCGACCCAGGGAAGAUGAGAAGCUUUAACCGGCGACUCCGCACUCCCGGGGCGUCUCGAUCUCAUCGCGAGAUGAGGCGCACCCAGAGCGUGCACGCU